rfam:Candidatus Doudnabacteria bacterium RIFCSPHIGHO2_01_52_17 rifcsphigho2_01_sub10_scaffold_4155, whole genome shotgun sequence.
GUCGGUGUUCUAUCCCGGCGUGUCCCACCUCUUCCCAUUCCGAACAGAGAAGUGAAAGCACCGGGAUCCGAUGAUACUCCGCAAGGGGGAAAGUAGGAUAUGCCGACA